rnacentral:lncRNA from 1 species
AGUUUUAUUAAGCCAUUUUAUUUUUACGUUUCGUGCGAGUGUGUAUUGCGCAGUUUGGACGCUUCUAAACUGGUCUAUCUCCCUAACUAUUUUGCGCACGCGACGGACCGUAUUAUCCGCAUGCAACCGCCCUGAAAAGGAAUACCUCUACAUGCCUGAAUACCUUUGUGUUCCAUUGAACACAUUGAGCCGCAAUGACCGCCGUAAGAGAGGGGACCUAGUCAC